ACCUCCUUGGCUCAGUCGAUAGAGCACGUUGUUAGAUAAACAAAUGAUCUAAUUAGCAUGAGGUUAGUCGUUCAAGUCGGCUAGGAGUAA